CCAAUGUUUUGGAGUAGGAUCUAGGAAACCUGCUGUAAUCUCUGGAGGAGAGGCUUGUCCUGCUUAGGAUCCAGCAGGUUUUAUCUUUUGCGUUAGAGGAGCAUUCAAAUAAUUUAAUGGUGGAUAUUCUCAUCCCUCAUCUGCCAGCAGAGUUGUUUUUGUGGCUCUAAUGCUUCCCUGACCUCAAUGAUGUCUCCUGUGAGUGCGUUGCUCAGGUUAAUUAUGCAUUAAGUUUACAUAAGGCUUUUCUGUUUUUAAUCAGUUCCAAACCCGCCGCCCUGGGCUGUGCUGGAUGCGCCGGCACUCGGCAGCUAUCGGGGGGCUUGCAGGAGGGCUGCAUCCACCUUCCCACCCUGCCAGGUCUCAUCCUCCCCCUGGGGUGGCUCCUCUGUUUGUCACCGUGCUGCACAACACUCCUGAGACGUGUGGCUCUGUUGUCACCCGCACAGCAUCUCCGACACCCGCUGCAGUCACACGGCACCGCGAGGGGAGCUGACGGCUGCUGGAUUGAGCUCGCUCGUACUCAGCUCCCUUUCCUUCUCCACGGCUGGAGAAGUGUGUGUGUACCCUGGGAGAGGCUUGGGAGCUGCUGUCUUUCCUCAGACAGUCUUUCCCACGUGGCCUGUAGCCAGCUGUUGGCAGCGAUGGCCAAGUCCUUGCUCUUCUGCAGGUGGUGUAUUGUGAAGGAGAGAGUGGGUAAGGAAUGCAAAUCAAAACCAAACCAUGCGCUUUGCCAUCUUCUUUGUUGUUUUUUUUUUUCCCUUUAAGAAGCUCAAUAUAUCAGCUAAUCGUGUGUGUAAACAAUCUCAAUAUGCAAACUGAAAAGUGGCAUCAUCCCCCCAGCGCCAGCUGGGUUGAGCUCCCCCAUUAACCUCUCCAGAGCAAAAAACCCUUCCCGAACAGCCAUUUCGGAGUGUGCAAAAUUGAUUUUGCAUUCGGCCUCCGCAGUGGGAGAAGAUGGCGGCGUCGAGCCGCGGGUGCCUUUCCCCUCCCUUGUCAUUUUUUUGGGAUAUCCUCUUUUCCUGGCGAUGGAGGACGGGCGUGGCUGGUGCCGGCAGGUCCCCCCGACGCCUUCUCCUGAGCAAAAACAAUAAAAACCAAAUUUACGGCA
rnacentral:lncRNA from 1 species